rnacentral:rRNA from 1 species
GCUACGGCCAUAUCAGCCUGGGUACGCCCGAUCUCGUCUGAUCUCGGAAGCUAAGCAGGGUCGGGCCUGGUUAGUACUUUGAUGGGAGACUGCCUGGGAAUACCAGGUGCUGUAAGCA